AACGUAGGACGCAAGCGUUAUCCGGAAUUACUGGGCGUAAAGGGCAAGCGGGCGGGCUGGCAAGUGGGAUGUGAAAGCUCCCGGCUCAACCGGGAGAGGCCAUUGCAAACUGCCAGCCUGGAGGGCAGCAGAGGAGCAUGGAAUUCCGGGUGGAGUGGUGAAAUGCGUAGAGAUCCGGAGGAACACCAGAGGCGAAGGCGAUGCUCUGGGCUGACCCUGACGCUGAAUUGCGAAGGCGUGGGGAGCGAACGGG
rnacentral:rRNA from 1 species